AUGUUCUUGGCUCUUCUAGUUUCCAAUUCUUAUGGACAGUCCCUGACCUCCUCUGCUUCUGUGGUGAAGAAACCUGGAGAGUCGGUCACUCUGUCCUGUACUGUCUCUGGAAUGUCACUGAGCUAUUUGCACUGGAUCCGUCAGAAACCAGGACGAGGACUGGAGUGGAUCGGAUACAUUGACAGUGGCACUGGCACAACAUUCUCUCAGUCUCUACAGGGCCAGUUCUCCAUUACUAAAGACACCAAUAAAAACAUGCUGUAUCUAGAAGUGAAGAGUCUGAAAGCUGAAGACACGGCUGUUUAUUACUGUGCACGAGACUCACACUGA